rnacentral:rRNA from 1 species
UACGUAGGGUCCGAGCGUUGUUCGGAAUUAUUGGGCGUAAAGGGCUCGUAGGCGGUUUGUCACGUCGGGAGUGAAAACUCAGGGCUCAACCCUGAGCGUGCUUCCGAUACGGGCAGACUAGAGGUAUGCAGGGGAGAACGGAAUUCCUGGUGUAGCGGUGGAAUGCGCAGAUAUCAGGAGGAACACCGGUGGCGAAGGCGGUUCUCUGGGCAUUACCUGACGCUGAGGAGCGAAAGCAUGGGGAGCGAACAGG